GAUGAAGAACGCAGCGAAAUGCGAUACUUGGUGUGAAUUGCAGAAUCCCGUGAACCAUCGAGUCUUUGAACGCAAGUUGCGCCCGAAGCCAUUAGGCCGAGGGCACGCCUGCCUGGGCGUCACACGUCGUUGCCCCCCCAUCUACUCCUUCGGGAUUGCGGGGGGCGGAUGAUGGCCUCCCGUGCGCCUCGUCGCGCGGUUGGCAUAAAUGCCAAGUCCUCGGCGACGCACGCCACGACAAUCGGUGGUUGCGAAACCUCGGUUGCCCGUCGUGUGCGGUCGUCGCGCAUCGAGGGCUCGAAAAAAUUGUCGGGCUCCGGCUCGGCUUUCAACGCAACCCCAGGUCAGGCGGGGUUACCCGCUGAAUUUAAGCAUAUCAAUAAGCGGAGGA
rnacentral:misc_RNA from 1 species